rnacentral:rRNA from 1 species
AUACGGAGGAUGCGAGCGUUAUCCGGAUUUAUUAGGUUUAAAGGGUGUGUAGGCGGUAUUUUAAGUCAGUGGUGAAAUCUCGGAGCUUAACUUCGAAACUGCCAUUGAUACUGGAAUACUUGAGUAUAGUUGAGGUAGGCGGAAUAUGUAAUGUAGCGGUGAAAUGCAUAGAUAUUACAUAGAACACCGAUUGCGAAGGCAGCUUACUAAACUAUUACUGACGCUGAUGCACGAAAGCGUGGGGAGCGAACAGGAUUAGAAACCCGGGUAGUCC